rnacentral:rRNA from 1 species
GACUCGUCACACUAUCAUUAACUGAAUCCAUAGGUUAAUGAGGCGAACCGGGGGAACUGAAACAUCUAAGUACCCCGAGGAAAAGAAAUCAACCGAGAUUCCCCCAGUAGCGGCGAGCGAACGGGGAGGAGCCCAGAGCCUGAAUCAGCAUGUGUGUUAGUGGAAGCGUCUGGAAAGGCGCGCGAUACAGGGUGACAGCCCCGUACACAAAAGCGCAUGUGCUGUGAGCUCGAUGAGUAGGGCGGGACACGUGGUAUCCUGUCUGAAUAUGGGGGGACCAUCCUCCAAGGCUAAAUACUCCUGACUGACCGAUAGUGAACCAGUACCGUGAGGGAAAGGCGAAAAGAACCCCGGCGAGGGGAGUGAAAAAGAACCUGAAACCGUGUACGUACAAGCAGUGGGAGCCCCACCACCAAAGCAUUCUCUGGUGUUGAAGGCCCUGCAAAGCAGCAUCGCGGUGGCGGAGCGUCGUUUGCGACGCCCAACACACAAAACAAGCGGUGAGUGCUUUGGGGUGGGGUGACUGCGUAC